rnacentral:rRNA from 1 species
CACGUAGGCGGCUUGUUAAGUCAGGGGUGAAAUCCUGGAGCUCAACUCCAGAACUGCCUUUGAUACUGGCGAGCUUGAGUCCGGGAGAGGUGAGUGGAACUGCGAGUGUAGAGGUGAAAUUCGUAGAUAUUCGCAAGAACACCAGUGGCGAAGGCGGCUCACUGGCCCGGUACUGACGCUGAGGUGUGAAAGCGUGGGGAGCAAACAGGAUUAGAUACCCUGGUAGUCCACGCCGUAAACGAUGGAUGCUAGCCGUUGGCGGGUUUACUCGUCAGUGGCGCAGCUAACGCAUUAAGCAUCCCGCCUGGGGAGUACGGUCGCAAGAUUAAA